UACAGAGGUCUCAAGCGUUGUUCGGAUUCAUUGGGCGUAAAGGGUGCGUAGGCGGCGCGGUAAGUCGGGUGUGAAAUCUUGGAGCUUAACUCCGAAACUGCAUUCGAUACUGCCGUGCUUGAGGACUGGAGAGGAGACUGGAAUUUACGGUGUAGCGGUGAAAUGCGUAGAUAUCGUAAGGAAGACCAGUGGCGAAGGCGGGUCUCUGAACAGUUCCUGACGCUGAGGCACGAAGGUCAGGGGAGCAAACGGG
rnacentral:rRNA from 1 species